GCCCUACGGGGGGCAGCAGUAGGGAAUCUUCCACAAUGGACGAAAGUCUGAUGGAGCAACGCCGCGUGAGUGAAGAAGGGUUUCGGCUCGUAAAGCCCUGUUGGUAGUGAAGAAAGACAGAGGUAGUAACUGGCCUUUAUUUGACGGUAAUUACUUAGAAAGUCACGGCUAACUACGUGCCAGCAGCCGCGGUAAUACGUAGGUGGCAAGCGUUGUCCGGAUUUAUUGGGCGUAAAGCGAGUGCAGGCGGUUCAAUAAGUCUUAUGUGAAAGCCUUCGGCUCCAACCGAGGAUUGCAUC
rnacentral:rRNA from 1 species